rnacentral:lncRNA from 1 species
CUGUCAUACACACCAAACUUAUCAUAUUGGACUCCAAGAACACUACACAAGCUUUUUAUGGCUUCCCCAAGUUUUGUAAGGGAGGACGAAGUCCCUAUGAGUUUUUUUGUUUUGCAUCUAUGCUACUUUAGCAGCUAGGUUCCAGGUUGCAUUUGUCUUUCUUAUACUCAGUCAUACACACCAAUCUUGUCAUAUUCGACUCCAAAAACCCUAAACAAGCUUAUUAUGGCUUCCCCAAGUUUUGUAAGUGAGGACGAAGUCCCUAUGAGUGUUUUUGUAUUCGAUCUACGCUACUUUAGCAAUCAGGAUCCAGGCUGCAUUUCUCUUUCUUAUACUCAGUCAUACACACCAAUCUUGUCAUAUUG